AGAGUUUGAUCCUGGCUCAGGACGAACGCUGGCGGCGUGCUUAACACAUGCAAGUCGAGCGGUAAGGCCCUUCGGGGUACACGAGCGGCGAACGGGUGAGUAACACGUGGGUGACCUGCCCUCAGCUCUGGGAUAAGCCUGGGAAACUGGGUCUAAUACCGGAUAUGACCUCUCAUCGCAUGGUGGGUGGUGGAAAGUUUUUCGGCUGGGGAUGGGCCCGCGGCCUAUCAGCUUGUUGGUGGGGUAGUGGCCUACCAAGGCGACGACGGGUAGCCGGCCUGAGAGGGUGACCGGCCACACUGGGACUGAGACACGGCCCAGACUCCUACGGGAGGCAGCAGUGGGGAAUAUUGCGCAAUGGGCGAAAGCCUGACGCAGCGACGCCGCGUGGGGGAUGACGGCCUUCGGGUUGUAAACCUCUUUCAGCAGGGACGAAGCGCAAGUGACGGUACCUGCAGAAGAAGCACCGGCCAACUACGUGCCAGCAGCCGCGGUAAUACGUAGGGUGCAAGCGUUGUCCGGAAUUAUUGGGCGUAAAGAGCUCGUAGGCGGUGUGUCGCGUCGGUCGUGAAAACCUGAGGCUCAACCUCAGGCCUGCAGUCGAUACGGGCGGACUUGAGUACUGCAGGGGAGACUGGAAUUCCUGGUGUAGCGGUGAAAUGCGCAGAUAUCAGGAGGAACACCGGUGGCGAAGGCGGGUCUCUGGGCAGUAACUGACGCUGAGGAGCGAAAGCGUGGGGAGCGAACAGGAUUAGAUACCCUAGUAGUCC
rnacentral:rRNA from 1 species